GAUAUAAGGGUGAACCAAAAAAGUUUGGGUAGAGACGGAUCUAAGUGUUGGCUAGGUAAACGCCCCGUACUAAGAGGGGUAGUUAUGAACCCUCUGGACCACCCCCAUGGGGGCGGUGAAGGGAAAGUUCCCAUUGGUAGAAAAAAACCCACAACCCCUUGGGGUUAUCCUGCACUUGGAAGAACAACUAGGAAAAGGAAAAAAUAUAGCGAUAGUUUUAUUCUUCGUCGCCGUAAGUAA
rnacentral:rRNA from 1 species